rnacentral:rRNA from 1 species
GAUGAACGCUAGCGGGAGGCCUAAUACAUGCAAGUCGAACGGUAACAGGUAGCAAUACGCUGACGAGUGGCGCACGGGUGCGUAACGCGUACACAAUCUGCCUUAUACUGGGGCAUAGCCUUUGGAAACGAAGAAUAAUUCCCCAUAACAUAUAGAAGAGGCAUCUCUUUUAUAUUAAAGCUCGAGGCGGUAUAAGAUGAGUGUGCGUCCGAUUAGGUAGUUGGUGAGGUAACGGCUCACCAAGCCAACGAUCGGUAGCUGGUCUGAGAGGAUGAUCAGCCACGACGGGCACUGAGACAC